UGGGACGUGGUGUACGGUGCACCGCUGCAUUGAAUCAACGGUGGUAAACAGAAUGUAAACGCAACAGUCCGGGGUUCAACUCCCCGCGUCCCAC